rnacentral:lncRNA from 1 species
GGAGGCCUGGCAUGCUGCAGUCCAUGGGGUCGCAAAGAGUCGGACAGGACCUAGUGAGUGAACUGAACUGAACUGAAUAGCAUUCUGGACAAAGAGAUAAGCACUUGAAAGGUGCUGAGGCGAGAAGACCCAGAGGGCUUGGGAAGAAGUCCAGGGUAGAUAGGAAAAGGGAGUGAAAGGAGCAGGAUGAGAUAGGGACAAGAUAAAGUAGUUCUUUGGAAGGUACAAACUGGAAUAGAUUUUUAAAAGAUAGUAUUGUUAGGGUGAACAUUAGAUACUGGGAAGUUCAAGUUUUGGGUAAUUAGGUAAAUUGGAUUAUACUGACUGAUUCUCCUAAGAAAUUAACUAAAAAUUCUGGUUAAAGGAAAAUGUUUUCAGAAAAGUAUUAUGGCACUGAUAAGAUGAUAAGGACUGUAAGGGUAAACUAUUAAGUGAAAGUUAGGACUUCUGUUAACUUGAGUGUUGAAGUUGCUGUUGCCCUGGUGAACCUAGGGAACUCUAGUGUUGAUUUCCGUGGUCCUGACCAGGGCAGGGAGUCAAGCAGGAGGCACUCCCUUUAGGCUGGUGCUCCCUCCCACCUUAGGUGUUUAGAGAGAACAUGAAGUGAACCCCACCCAUUCCUAUACCCUGAGAGUCUGAGCAGAGCACUGAGCUUUAGGCUUCAAAGCUCAGGCUUGCUCACAUGGGCCAAACGCAGAUUACCUUGUUGUUGCUAUUGUUUAGGCACUAAGUCAUGUCUGACUCUCUUGUAACAUGGACUGUGGCCCGCCAGGCUGCUCUGUCCCUGGGAUUUCCCAGGCAAGAAUACUGGAGUGGGNNNCCAUUUCCUCCUCCACACCGUCUUGCCCUGGAUAUAAUUAUAUGUAAAUAGUGCCAAACACAAUCUGCCCACCUAACUCAGUCAGUCUUUCUGGAUUGAGGUAAAAGCUGGGCUUCCUAAAGGUAAGUACUUGAGGACCAUAACUGAGUAGGGGUGUGUUGAGACUGGAACAUUUUUUUCCCAAUUUCCCAUU